CCAAAGGCUCUUUUCAGAGCCACACAGAUUCAAAAGAGAGCCAUG
rfam:Loxodonta africana unplaced genomic scaffold scaffold_44, whole genome shotgun sequence.